ensembl:lncRNA PVT1 Pvt1 oncogene
ACACCCCCUCAGGGCUGGGCGAAGGAUUUAUUAGGAGAAAAACCUUCCCGGAAGCUGCAGAAGGACAAAUACAGAAUCCGUGUCUGGGAGAAACCUCGUGGCCUGGUCUCCAUUAUUUGAGAUGAGUUACAUCUUGGAGGUGAGGACGUGCCUCGUGGUCUAAAGCUUCGGCACAAGGGCCCAACUGGAAUUCCACUUACGGGCCUGAUCUUUUGGCCAGAAGGAGAUUAAAAAGAUGCCCCUCAAGAUGGCUGUGCCUGUCAGCUGCAUGGAGCUUCGUUCAAGUAUUUUCUGAGCCUGAUGGAUUUACAGUGAUCUUCAGUGGUCUGGGGAAUAACGCUGGUGGAACCAUGCACUGGAAUGACACACGCCCGGCACAUUUCAGGAUACUAAAAGUGGUUUUAAGGGAGGCUGUGGCUGAAUGCCUCAUGGAUUCUUACAGCUUGGAUGUCCAUGGGGGACGAAGGACUGCAGCUGGCUGAGAGGGUUGAGAUCUCUGUUUACUUAGAUCUCUGCCAACUUCCUUUGGGUCUCCCUAUGGAAUGUAAGACCCCGACUCUUCCUGGUGAAGCAUCUGAUGCACGUUCCAUCCGGCGCUCAGCUGGGCUUGAGAUUCCUGGGAACACCACCAUGGAGGGCCUGGCCUUUGGCGGUGGACAGUCUGUGGCUGGGUGGGAACGUCAGGAGUGGGGCCUGCCUCUUUGCUGGGAAUGCCGUGCACUCCCAGCCCACUUGCCCCAUGCCAGCACUCGAGGCAGGACUUCGCAGGUGAGCAGUAACGGAAAUCAGCCCCGUUUAUUCCUCCCAGCACCUGCCUUAUCCAACUCCCCACGCUGUGGCUGAGUCCCAGCCUGCUAUGGAAGCAUCACUGGACUCCCAUUGAACUCUGUGCAGAUUCGCUGUUCGUAGACAUGGUACCUGAUGGACACCAAGCUACGUACAGCUUCAAGGCCCCUUCUUUCUUUGCUAAUAAAAAAUAAAAAAUAAAAACAUAA